CGCAGCCGCGGUAAUUCCAGCUCCAAUAGCGUAUAUUAAAGUUGUUGCAGUUAAAAGCUCGUAGUUGAAUUUCGGGGUCAGCAGGUCGGUCGUGCCACUGGUAUGUACUGGCUUUGCUGAUUCCUCCCUCUUGACGAACCGUAAUGCCAUUAAUUUGGUGUUGCGGGAAAUCAGGACUGUUACUUUGAAAAAUUAGAGUGUUUAAAGCAGGCUUACGCUUGAAUACAUUAGCAUGGAAUAAUGAAAUAGGACGUUCGAUCCUAUUUUGUUGGUUUUUAGGAUUGACGUAAUGAUUAAUAGGGAUAGUUGGGGGCAUUAGUAUUCAAUUGUCAGAGGUGAAAUUCUUGGAUUUAUUGAAGACUAACUACUGCGAAAGCAUUUGCCAAGGAUGUUUUCAUUAAUCAAGAACGAAAGUUAGGGAUCGAAGACGAUCAGAUACCGUCGUAGUCUUAACCAUAAACUAUAGCCGACUAGGGAUCGGAUGGAUGUUAAUUUUUAAUGUACUCAUUCGGCGCCUUAC
rnacentral:misc_RNA from 1 species